rnacentral:rRNA from 1 species
AGUGAACGCUGGCGGUAGGCCUAACACAUGCAAGUCGAACGGCAGCACAGUAAGAGCUUGCUCUUACGGGUGGCGAGUGGCGGACGGGUGAGGAAUACAUCGGAAUCUACUUUUUCGUGGGGGAUAACGUAGGGAAACUUACGCUAAUACCGCAUACGACCUACGGGUGAAAGCAGGGGAUCUUCGGACCUUGCGCGAUUGAAUGAGCCGAUGUCGGAUUAGCUAGUUGGCGGGGUAAAGGCACACCAAGGCGACGAUCCGUAGCUGGUCUGAGAGGAUGAUCAGCCACACUGGAACUGAGACACGGUCCAGACUCCUACGGGAGGCAGCAGUGGGGAAUAUUGGACAAUGGGCGCAAGCCUGAUCCAGCCAUACCGCGUGGGUGAAGAAGGCCUUCGGGUCGUAAAGCCCUUUUGUUGGGAAGGAAAAGCAGCAGGUUAAUACCCCGCUGUUCUGACGGUACCCAAAGAAUAAGCACCGGCUAACUUCGUG